GAUCAUUACUGAUUUGCUUAAUUGCACCACAUGUGUUUUUCUUUGAAACAAACUUGCUUUGGCGGUGGGCCCAGCCUGCCGCCAGAGGUCUAAACUUACAACCAAUUUUUUAUCAACUUGUCACACCAGAUUAUUACUUAAUAGUCAAAACUUUCAACAACGGAUCUCUUGGUUCUCGCAUCGAUGAAGAACGCAGCGAAAUGCGAUACGUAAUAUGAAUUGCAGAUAUUCGUGAAUCAUCGAAUCUUUGAACGCACAUUGCGCCCUCUGGUAUUCCGGAGGGCAUGCCUGUUUGAGCGUCGUUUCUCCCUCAAACCGCUGGGUUUGGUGUUGAGCAAUACGACUUGGGUUUGCUUGAAAGACGGUAGUGGUAAGGCGGGAUCGCUUUGACAAUGGCUUAGGUCUAACCAAAAACAUUGCUUGCGGCGGCAACGUCUACCACGUAUAUCUUCAAACUUUGACCUCAAAUCAGGUAGGACUACCCGCUGAACUUAAGCAUAUCA
rnacentral:misc_RNA from 1 species